UUUCUGAAAUAAAAACAACUAUCAUAUAGAAAAAUGUGUGAUGUGACCUUUCAUAAGGAAUUAUCAAAAUCGCACCAAUAUAACUAUAAAAAACUUCCGACUUUUAGUACUUGGCAAAUCCGCUAUCUUGAAAUGGGGACCAUUUUGAAUAGCUACCAACCCUUUUGAGAUGUCUAUCAUACCUCUUUAUGCUUACAAUAGCAUCCACUAUCAUCCCCCAAAGUGGCACUUUGGAAUGAAAGAGUCUAAGGAUGUGGAAGAUUCGGUUAGUCUUACAUACGAAUGGACGAAAGUAUUUUUUAACAUUCAGCUUUUUUCAUUUUCGAAAAUGUUUCUUUGUACAACUCGAAAGCGUAGGUUGCUAUUAUAUGCAGUCGCGGACCUAUUUCGUUUUGUUGCCUAUUUAAUUUCAACUCAACGCGUUCCAGUUAGUCUAACAUACACAUCUACUAUGCAUAAGGUAUUCAUGAAAUGCAUUCUUAACUGUACAAGAUCCACCCCUUUUCUUCGAUAAAUCAAUAAAUUAUAAGCAACACUAGAAGGCGUGGCUGUGUGAAGUAAUUAUUGUUUUCCUAAACAGAAGAUACUUACUUACCUCUAGAAACUAUGCAACUAUGGCCAUUGUAUGCCAUCGGCAUGCUAGCACAUAUCACCCAUAGUAAAAAUAAUAACGCUAUGCAAAUGAUAUAUCCAUAACAUUCGAAUUUCACAAAAUACAUCAUUAAUAUUGUUUAUCUUACAAAUCUAUGUUAAUUUUUAGCCUUCAAGCUGUAUGAACUUACAUUACUCUAGCAGUGGUCUUUCAUUGUUAGUUACCUUACAGGUGUACCUACAAGAUGCUGAAUUCGAAGUUUCUAGCUUUCGCGAUCCUUAUGGCAUUAAAUAAACAAUUCACGACGGCGCACCCCAUUUUUAAUUCAGAAAGUGAUUCUGAUCCAAUUUCGAUUGCAUUUUCAAUAUAUGAUUUGGGAGGAUUUGGAAGUCGUGAAUGGCGUGAUAGUGACUGGUAUAAUAGACAUGUCAAGGACUGGAAACGUUACGACGAACCCCCAUACAGUUACUGGGAUUUUUAUGACGAGUACGAAGGGUAGUCAGUGUUUUAGCUUAUAGAGCAUGAAAAAUUCUUUUGGACUGUCGACAACAAAAAAACAGUAAUUUUCCGUACGGUCCUUCAAUUUUUCGUUACUGCACACCGUAAUAUAACAAAUUAGUCAGCGAGACGAGGAGAAAUUUCAAAAAGUGAUACUACUACUCUCAGCAUUCUUCAAAUAUCAAUCAUUUUAAACGGAUUUCAGCUUGCCAAAUUCCAUUAUCAAAGCCUAACGCUAUAACAUAAAGCUGAACUGAUUGCUCACUAAUUACGCUGGUAAUAUGAGCAUUUUUGAAGAACAGCAAAGAAUAUUAGUAUAAGUUGUGUUGUAUUAGCUCUUGCUGUUGUAAGCUUAAACUUGUUUUAAGUAACUAAAAAUUACAUGUCGAAAAAAUAAACUGAAACACUAUUCUUUAAUUACAUUGCCACAUCUACGCCUGCGUGUCUUCCUCGCCAAUUAGAAAGCGUCUUGGGCCGAUUUUAUUAGUUUUGUAUGUCAUUUUAU